rnacentral:rRNA from 1 species
CAGUCGCCGCGGUAAUACGUAGGUGGCAAGCGUUGUCCGGAUUUAUUGGGCGUAAAGCGAGCGCAGGCGGUCAAUUAAGUCUGAUGUGAAAGCCCUCGGCUCAACCGGGGAGGGUCAUUGGAAACUGGUUGACUUGAGUGCAGAAGAGGAGAGUGGAAUUCCAUGUGUAGCGGUGAAAUGCGUAGAUAUAUGGAGGAACACCAGUGGCGAAGGCGACUCUCUGGUCUGUAACUGACGCUGAGGCUCGAAAGCGUGGGUAGCAAACAGGAUUAGAUACCCCGGUAGUCCCUGUCUCUUAUAC